rnacentral:rRNA from 1 species
GAUGAACGCUAGCGGCAGGCUUAAUACAUGCAAGUCGUGGGGCAGCAUGAAUGUAGCAAUACAUUUGAUGGCGACCGGCAAACGGGUGCGGAACACGUACACAACCUUCCUAUAAGUGGGGAAUAGCCCAGAGAAAUUUGGAUUAAUACCCCGUAACAUAACGAUGUGGCAUCACAUUGUUAUUAUAGCUUCGGCGCUUAUUGAUGGGUGUGCGUCUGAUUAGAUAGUUGGCGGGGUAACGGCCCACCAAGUCUACGAUCAGUAGCCGAUGUGAAAGCAUGAUAAGCCACACGGGCACUGAGACACGGGCCCGACUCCUACGGGAGGCAGCAGUAAGGAAUAUUGGUCAAUGGACGCAAGUCUGAACCAGCCAUGCCGCGUGAAGGAUUAAGUUCCUCUGGAUUGUAAACUUCUUUUAUCUGGGACGAAAAAAGGCUUUUCUAAGUCACUUGACGGUACCAGAUGAAUAAGCACCGGCUAACUCCGUGCCAGCAGCCGCCGUAAGAC